rnacentral:rRNA from 1 species
CCUACGGGAGGCUGCAGUGGGGAAUAUUGGACAAUGGGCGAAAGCCUGAUCCAGCCAUGCCGCGUGUGUGAAGAAGGCCUUCGGGUUGUAAAGCACUUUCAGUGGGGAAGAAAGCCUUGGGGCUAAUACCCUCGAGGAAGGACAUCACCCACAGAAGAAGCACCGGCUAACUCCGUGCCAGCAGCCGCGGUAAUACGGAGGGUGCGAGCGUUAAUCGGAAUUACUGGGCGUAAAGCGCGCGUAGGCGGUCUGAUAAGCCGGUUGUGAAAGCCCCGGGCUCAACCUGGGAACGGCAUCCGGAACUGUCAGGCUAGAGUGCAGGAGAGGAAGGUAGAAUUCCCGGUGUAGCGGUGAAAUGCGUAGAGAUCGGUAGGAAUACCAGUGGCGAAGGCGGCCUUCUGGACUGACACUGACGCUGAGGUGCGAAAGCGUGGGUAGCAAACAGGAUUAGAUACCCCAGUAGUC